rnacentral:rRNA from 1 species
UACGUAGGUGGCAAGCGUUGUCCGGAAUUAUUGGGCGUAAAGCGCGCGCAGGCGGCCUCUUAAGUCUGAUGUGAAAGCCCCCGGCUCAACCGGGGAGGGCCAUUGGAAACUGGGAGGCUUGAGUAUAGGAGAGAAGAGUGGAAUUCCACGUGUAGCGGUGAAAUGCGUAGAGAUGUGGAGGAACACCAGUGGCGGAAGGCGACUCUUUGGCCUAUAACUGACGCUGAGGCGCGAAAGCGUGGGGAGCAAACAGG